rnacentral:rRNA from 1 species
AUUGAACGCUGGCGGCAGGCCUAACACAUGCAAGUCGAGCGGAGCGGCGGACGGGUGAGUAAUGCUAAGGAAUCUGACUGGUAGUGGGGGAUAACGUCCGGUAACGGGCGCUGAUACUGCAUACUAUCAGAUGAGCCUAGGUCGGAUUAGCUAGUUGGGGGGGUAAAGGCCUAACAAGGCUACGAUCCGUAACUGGUCUGAGAGGAGGAUCAGUCACACUGGAACUGAGACACGGUCCAGACUCCUACGGGAGGCAGCAGUGGGGAAUAUUGGACAAUGGGCGAAAGCCUGAUCCAGCCAUGCCGCGUGUAUGAAGAAGGUCUUCGGAUUGUAAAGCACUUUAAGUUGGGAGGCGUUACCAACAGAAUAAGCACCGGCUAACUUCGUGCCAGCAGCCGCGGUAAUAC